rnacentral:rRNA from 1 species
GCGAACGCUGGCGGCAGGCUUAACACAUGCAAGUCGAACGGGCGUAGCAAUACGUCAGUGGCAGACGGGUGAGUAACACGUGGGAACGUACCUUUUGGUCUGGAACAACUGAGGGAAACUUCAGCUAAUACCGGAUAAGCCCUUACGGGGAAAGAUUUAUUGCCGAAAGAUCGGCCCGCGUCUGAUUAGCUAGUUGGUAGGGUAAUGGCCUACCAAGGCGACGAUCAGUAGCUGGUCUGAGAGGAUGAUCAGCCACACUGGGACUGAGACACGGCCCAGACUCCUACGGGAGGCAGCAGUGGGGAAUAUUGGACAAUGGGCGCAAGCCUGAUCCAGCCAUGCCGCGUGAGUGAUGAAGGCCCUAGGGUUGUAAAGCUCUUUUAACGGGGAAGAUAAUGACGGUACCCGUAGAAUAAGCCCCGGCUAACUUCGU